GACGAACGCUGGCGGCGUGCUUAACACAUGCAAGUCGAACGGGAAGGCCCUGCUUUUGUGGGGUGCUCGAGUGGCGAACGGGUGAGUAACACGUGAGUAACCUGCCCUUGACUUUGGGAUAACUUCAGGAAACUGGGGCUAAUACCGGAUAGGAGCUCCUGCUGCAUGGUGGGGGUUGGAAAGUUUCGGCGGUUGGGGAUGGACUCGCGGCUUAUCAGCUUGUUGGUGGGGUAGUGGCUGACCAAGGCUUUGACGGGUAGCCGGCCUGAGAGGGUGACCGGCAACAUUGGGACUGAGAUACGGCCCAGACUCCUACGGGAGGCAGCAGUGGGGAAUAUUGCACAAUGGGCGGAAGCCGGAUGCAGCAACGCCGCGGGCGGGAUGACGGCCUUCUGGUUGUAAUCCGCUUCCGCCUGUGACGAAGCGGGAGUGACGGUAAUGGGUAAAGAAGCACCGGCUAACUACGUG
rnacentral:rRNA from 1 species